CCCUGCUAUACAAAGAAAGUCACUUGAAAGUGCGCUUACUUUCCCUUUGAGCAUCAAGCCUCAAAUUUUUCUAGACAGGAUCAACUUUGAAGUUUCACAACAUUUAUGCUUUUAAUUUUAUCUGACUAGUUUGCAAUCUAGGUUCAAAUAUUUAAUUGGCAAAAUACUGAUAGAUUUUUUGAUGAAAACUUUUGAACUUAUAGUUCUCCUGGUUAUAUGUUCAGCUGCUCUUACCUCUGGGAAGAAAUACCUAAUACAUACCCAACAUGAUUCCCAGCCACCCCCGCCUAUGAUGAAACCUGGGAAUGGAACUGGGAAUGGAACAACUGGAGAGGAUUACUGGUGGGGGGGAUGGGGGAAUAGGGGUGGUUGGGGUUGGGGGAGAAGAGGAUGGGGAUGGGGCAGAAGAUAAAAUUAUUAUUUUGGUGAAAAAUUAGAACUCGUUCAUUAAUAUCUAUAGUAAUUAUUAUAAAUUAAAUUAUAUUAAUAAAAUUACGAUUAUGUACAGAAUAAAAAUUUA